rnacentral:rRNA from 1 species
GUCAGGCUGCAACUCGCCUGCAUGAAGUCGGAAUUGCUAGUAAUCGCAGAUCAGCAUGCUGCGGUGAAUACGUUCCCGGGCCUUGUACACACCGCCCGUCACACCAUGGGAGUCGGUAACACCCGAAGUCGGUAGCCUAACCGUAAGGAGGGCGCCGCCGAAGGUGGGAUUGAUGACUGGGGUGAAGUCGUAACAAGGUAAC